GGGCUUGUAGCUCAGUGGAUUAGAGUAUAUGGCUACGAACCAUGCGGUCGGGGGUUCAAGUCCCUCCAAGCCCA
rnacentral:tRNA from 1 species